rnacentral:rRNA from 1 species
UACGUAGGGUGCGAGCGUUAAUCGGAAUUACUGGGCGUAAAGCGUGCGCAGGCGGCGCCGCAAGUCAGGCGUGAAGUCCCCGAGCUUAACUUGGGAAUGGCGCUUGAAACUACGGUGCUGGAGUGUGGCAGAGGGAGGUGGAAUUCCACGUGUAGCGGUGAAAUGCGUAGAGAUGUGGAGGAACACCGAUGGCGAAGGCAGCCUCCUGGGCCAACACUGACGCUCAUGCACGAAAGCGUGGGGAGCAAACAGG